UAUUUCAAUAUACUAUUCUAUUACAAAUUCAUCCACUCGUUCUUCAAUCAGUCAACCUCAACCUCAACAUUUUCCAUUCCAUUCACACCAAUAAUAUUAAAAAUUGAAUUAUGUAUAGGCGAUAUACUGGACAAAAAUCUUAUACACCAGCAGUAGCACUAACACUGACCUACCCACUUCAUAAUUACACCCAUAAUUAUUUCAAUAUACUUUUCUAUUACAAAUUCAUCCGCUAGUUCUUCAAUCAGUCUUAACCUCAACCUCAACAGUAACGAAGUGUAUGCCUCGUACUUUGGAGGAUAUUAGUCUUGCACGAAGUUGAAGGAAACUGGUAAAACGAGGCUUCGAAAAAGUUGAAAAAAAAAAAAAAAGAAA
rnacentral:misc_RNA from 1 species